rnacentral:rRNA from 1 species
UGAUUCGUCACACUAUCAUUAACUGAAUCCAUAGGUUAAUGAGGCGAACCGGGGGAACUGAAACAUCUAAGUACCCCGAGGAAAAGAAAUCAACCGAGAUUCCCCCAGUAGCGGCGAGCGAACGGGGAGGAGCCCAGAGCCUGAAUCAGCAUGUGUGUUAGUGGAAGCGUCUGGAAAGGCGCGCGAUACAGGGUGACAGCCCCGUACACAAAAGCGCAUGUGCUGUGAGCUCGAUGAGUAGGGCGGGACACGUGGUAUCCUGUCUGAAUAUGGGGGGACCAUCCUCCAAGGCUAAAUACUCCUGACUGACCGAUAGUGAACCAGUACCGUGAGGGAAAGGCGAAAAGAACCCCGGCGAGGGGAGUGAAAAAGAACCUGAAACCG